UACAGAGGUCUCAACCGUUGUUCGGAUUCAUUGGGCGUAAAGGGUGCGUAGGCGGUCGUGCAAGUCGGAUGUGAAAUCUCAGGGCUCAACCCUGAAACUGCAUUCGAUACUGCGCGGCUAGAGUGCUGGAGGGGAGACUGGAAUUUACGGUGUAGCAGUGAAAUGCGUAGAUAUCGGGAGGAACACCGGUGGCGAAGGCGGCCGAUCCUGGACGGGAUACUGACGCUGAGACGCGAAAGCGUGGGUAGCAAACAGG
rnacentral:rRNA from 1 species